AAUAAGAAAAAGAUAACAUUACGAAAACCUAUCACUGGACGCUGGUUAACAAAAUUGCCGCGGCUUGCCACAAUCUCCGGCCUGCCACAAUCUCCGGCCUGCCACAACUCUGUGUAUCUUCUUCCCAAAUCCCACGUAACUUUUUCUUCUUUCCCAGGUUUCAAGAUUGCUGCAAAAAUGAUUCUUCUCCUUCACUUUUUUCUUUUAUCGGCAAAUAUUCUGCUCACCAGGUAAUUCAGAGCCAAGAAAGCUUCAUGGGCCUACUAUACUAAAAGAUAUUUGGAAACUUCCUCCGGGGAAGAUAGUUGAUGUGCCGUUUAAUAAUCGUAACCAAGCUGUUCGAGAAAAAGGUCGAAAGCUUGCUAGUUUUCUAGGAAUUAUUGCGACAACUCCAGAACUAACAUCAAGGAUACCUAGUGUUGCUGAAAACACUUCACUUUCUCACGGUCAUACAGUCUGAUGAUCGAUAAUUUAGUUGGUCGAAGAUUUCAACAUGAUGAAGAGUUGCAAAAAUUAUUUGAAGACUAUUAUUCGUUGGGAUUAGUCAUAUAAUGACAUUAGCUAUUUACUUCAAACAAUAUAAGUUUGUUUUUAAGUUAUUGUGAUAUUAAUAUUUUGGAUUAGUACUUUCUUUUGUUUGUUAAGAUUUAAUGAGAUACAUUAUGUUUUUAUGAA